rnacentral:tRNA from 1 species
GGAGUGGUAGUUCAGUCGGUUGGACCUGUCACGCCGGGGGUCGCGGGUUCGAGUCCCGUCCAGUCCGCCA